UACGUAGGGUGCGAGCGUUGUCCGGAAUUACUGGGCGUAAAGAGCUCGUAGGUGGUUUGUCGCGUUGUUCGUGAAAACUCACAGCUCAACUGUGGGCGUGCGGGCGAUACGGGCAGACUGGAGUACUGCAGGGGAGACUGGAAUUCCUGGUGUAGCGGUGGAAUGCGCAGAUAUCAGGAACACCGGUGGCGAAGGCGGGUCUCUGGGCAGUAACUGACGCUGAGGAGCGAAAGCGUGGGGAGCGAACAGG
rnacentral:rRNA from 1 species